GCUGGACGUGGUUAGCUGUGGGAAAGCCACAGUGAGGGUCCAGAAAGCCAUCUGCAGUGGUUUCUUCAUGAUGAAUACCCUACCCUGAUUGACCAGCAGGUGGUGUACCUCCACCCCUCCAGCACGCUCUGCAACCAGCAGCCGGAGUGCACCAGGCCAAGAUCAAGUCUCUGAAGGACUACAUGCAGAACAUGGAGCAGAAGAAGAGACAGCUGGAGGAGAGCCAGGACGCUCUGACCUAGGAGCACGCGAAGCUGCAGGCUCACGAGAAAAGACACGAGAUGUCAGGAGAGGAGAAGGAGAAUGAGGACAUCGGCAGACAUGAUGGGGACGGGGACAUAAAGAAAACUCUGGAGGAGCAGCUGGAGAACCACAGAGAGGCUCAGCACAAACAGCUGAGCCAACUGAGAGACGAGAUCGAAGACGAGCAGAGGAUGCUGGACGAGCUCACAGAUCUGAACCAGGGUCUUCUGCUGGAGCAGGAGAGGCUGAUGUCAG